UACGGAGGGUGCGAGCGUUAUUCGGAAUUACUGGGCGUAAAGCGCGUGUAGGCGGCAGGGCAAGUCUGGUGUGAAAGCCCGGGGCUCAACCCCGGAAGUGCAUUGGAAACUGCUCUGCUUGAGUACUGGAGAGGGGAGUGGAAUUCCCGGUGUAGCGGUGAAAUGCGUAGAUAUCGGGAGGAAUACCAGUGGCGAAGGCGCCCUUCUGGACGGUUACUGACGCUCAUGCACGAAAGCGUGGGGAGCAAACAGG
rnacentral:rRNA from 1 species